AUAAAAAAUAAAAACUGAUAAUUAAAGAAAACCAAAAGCCAACAGCAGUCAAACUUAGCCCGAGGGCCACUCACAGAACCACACCACCCCAUCGUCGUCGGCGACGCUUCUCCUCACCGCCGACGAAGACUCUUUUACUCUUUCUCUCUCCGGUGAACCCACUCCACUGAUUAUUAUUUUUAUUUUUGGGGUUUCCUUUCCCCACUCGUAGGGAAGAUGGAUCUCUGAAUCCUGGAGCAAGAGAGAGAGAGGGGGAGGAUUCGAGGGGAGGCUUUGGCGGCAAUGAGCAGGAGUGGUCCGAGUGGGGUUACCGCCGGUGACGGCUGCGCGAAGUUAUCUUGCGUGGACUUCGACAUCUGCUAGGUCCUUUGUUUUUUCUUUUUAUUGUAUUUGUUUUUUAAUUUGAUAAAAGUUAGCAGUGUUAAUUUUAAGUUAAGGAGU